rnacentral:rRNA from 1 species
GAUGAACGCUGGCGGCGUGCCUAAUACAUGCAAGUCGAGCGAACAGACGAGGAGUUUGCCCCUCUGACGCUGGCGACGGGCGAGUAAGGAACACGUGGAUAACUGACCGAUAAGACUGAGGUAAGGUCGCGAAACCGGAUCUAGUACACGAUAAUAUAUUGAACCGCAUGGUUCAAUGGUGAAAGACGGAUUUGCUGUCACUUAGUCAUGUAUCCGGGCCGCAUUAGCUAGUUGGUAAGGUAACGGCUUACCAAGGCGACGAUGCGUAGCCGACCUGAGAGGGUGAUCAGCCACACUGGAACUGAGACACGGUCCAGACUCCUACGGGAGGCAGCAGUAGGGAAUAUUGCGCAAUGGGCGAAAGCCUGACGGAGCAACGCCGCGUGAGUGAUGAAGGUCUUCGGAUCGUAAAACUCUGUUAUUAGGGAAGAAAAACUGUGUAAGUAAAUAUGCACGUCUUGACGGUACCUAAUCAGAAAGCCCCGGCUAACUACGUG